ACGGGAGGCAGCAGUGGGGAAUAUUGCACAAUAGGGGAAACCCUGAUGCAGCGACGCCGCGUGAGCGAAGAAGUAUUUCGGUAUGUAAAGCUCUAUCAGCAGGGAAGAAAAUGACGGUACCUGACUAAGAAGCCCCGGCUAACUACGUGCCAGCAGCCGCGGUAAUACGUAGGGGGCAAGCGUUAUCCGGAUUUACUGGGUGUAAAGGGAGCGUAGACGGAAUGGCAAGUCUGAUGUGAAAGGCCGGGGCUCAACCCCGGGACUGCAUUGGAAACUGUCAAUCUAGAGUACCGGAGGGGUAAGCGGAAUUCCUAGUGUAGCGGUGAAAUGCGUAGAUAUUAGGAGGAACACCAGUGGCGAAGGCGGCUUACUGGACGGUAACUGACGUUGAGGCUCGAAAGCGUGGGGAGCAAACAGGAUUAGAUACCCUGGCAGUCCACGCCGUAAACGAUGAAUACUAGGUGUUGGGGAGCAAAGCUCUUCGGUGCC
rnacentral:rRNA from 1 species